GACUGGAUGCUAUAGAUGCAUAGAUUGCAUUCACCACUGUCCUCUCCAUCUUCCAAGGCUGGUGGGAGAGGAGACACACACUGGCCAUGCAGAAUGGUCAAUGGAGUGUGCUAUCAUGAUUCUGGGUGAGCUGAGUGCUUCUGUUUGGUAGCCCCUUUCUCACAGGACCCAGGCCCUUGUUAUCUAUAUAGAAAAGGUCACACAUGAGGAGAUGAUGGUAGCGCUGAACACAGGGCUCCAGUUUUGCCUACAAAACUGGGUAAACCAGAUAGAAUCACCCCAGCCUCAAUAUUGUCACCUUUAAAACAGGGAUCAUAAAAGCCACUCAUCCUGCUAUAUCAGAACAAUGAUAACUUUACUGAGAACUCUUUAUGCUCAGUAGUUGCAAAUACUUUACCACUGCCCAACCCUAUGAAGUAGGUGCCCUUGAGAUUCCCGUUUUGAGACUGAAAAGCUGAAGCACUAAGAAGUUUAAUAGCUAUUCAACACAGCUGGGAAAAAGAAGUAGUCUGGCCCUAAAGCUUGGACUCCUCACUCAGCUGCAGGUACUGAGAGCCACACACAGGACUGACACAAGCCGCCAAAGCCAGAAGGACAGAUGUGCCUGUGGGUGCACUACCCCCCAAAAGGCUACAGCUAAGAGAAGGGAUCCAUGGUUCAUUACAACCUGAUCAUUCAGCAAUGCUCUGUUCUCAGAGUGACCUCACCAGUCCUCAUGCCCACACCGAAAGAUGGGCACAAGUGUGGGGCACAUUCCCCCCACUUAAGCAAGGAGAAAAUGGAGAAAAGAGUGAUUUCUACAGAUUUAAACUAGGAAGGCAUUUGGUAAGCAGGACCAAAGGAGAAAUUUAGCUUAUUUAACUUUGUCACUUAGGGCCUCCAUUUUCAAUCUCCUCUAGAAAUGUUUUUAUACUGCAGAGGAGGAAUGCGUGGCAUUCUCUGUCCUGUCCAUGCCCUCUCCACCAGUCCCUCUGCUCUCUGGCCAGGUCAGUGUGAACCUUGUAGGAAACUAUGUCAGGACAUUGGAAGGGAAUAUAGUGGUCACCUAAGGAGACAAUGCCUGGCUCAGGAUGAGAUUUUCUCUUGGAUUGAAAUUUUUCUAAUAUUCCAGAAAGCAGAGAGGGACUUCAGGAAGCGCAUGAGGAAGAAGGUGACAAAGGGAGUGGUUAGCGAGUCAGCGCUGAAGGCCUACCAGGAGGCAGGCAAGGAAGAAGUACAGAAUGACAAAUCAAGAACUGUCCCUCUACCCCUACUUGUUCCCUCGGUGGCUGCCUUGGUGACAGCCACAGUCCUGCACAGACUCUGCCAGCAGAGGGCGCCCUGGGCCUUCGCAUCCAUCAGCUCUGCAAUGUGGCAAACCUUGAAGGUGGAAAAGAGCCAUCCGGAAGUUCAGAUGGAAGACCAGGCCACAGUCUCAGAAUCCACUCACUUGGGAGAGGUGACCCAGGAGGAAGCUGAUAGGAGGCUGGCUGAAACUCAGGCUGUCAGCUCCACAUAGGACCAAAGUAUACGUGUCCAAAGUACCGCGGCGGCAUCAGGACUUAAUCAUGCAGACUGAAUAAGACUGCGAAAAAUGGUGAACAGUAGGUGCUCACGGAAAAUCUGUUCGAAAAAUGAGGAAAUGAAACCAAGAAACAAAGGCAAGGUGUAGUCAACCUAUAUCUUUUGCUAGAGCCCUGUCUGAUGUCUUGCCAUAAGGUCCCACAAGGCUUCAAGAUAUAAGGAAUACUGAACAUUUGACUGUGAAAUCCCAAAUCUUUCAUAAUAAGCUUUAAAAUCAUAUUUUAUUGCCCAAACUUCCUAUGGGCAUAGUCACCAUGGUCCCAAGGAGACCAGAAAAUAGGACCCAGUGACAACGGGGCUAGCAGGGAUCAGAUGGGAAAAGAUAUCUCUCCUAGAGUGUGUGUAGGGGGGUGCACAGGUCUGCCCUGUGCCUCCACAUGUUGGAGGAUUGGAAGCUGAGAAGCAGAUAGGGUGAGGGCUGUCAGCAGGAAGCAAGAGGCCCUGUUCAAAACCACUUCUUCACAACACCAAUGCAACCUUCCCUGGUUGGAAUAAAUCCUUCUUUAUCACCUUUCUCUCUUGUUUGUCCAUAGAUUACUCUAGUGGCUAUAGGAUCUGAUGGUAGAAUAUGCAUAGAGUAAUGGGUCAAAAUUCUGGGUAAGGGAGAUUGGAUCUAAUCUACAAGCAUUAAUGGUUUCCUGCAUAGAACAUUGGUAAUGACAUUAGUUAGCUUCCAGGGGUUGGGAGAAGGAUUUAUAUAAAGUCACUUUUAAUUCUCAUUAUUUUCUUGAAUCUCCCAUUAGACUUUUAAUCUCUUCAAGGAUCUUGGGGUGUUUGGCACAGUACUUGGCUCUCGGUAUACCGGUUCAUCUGUGAACCAUGCAUAGAGGGGAGGAGACUUCUUUAUCCUCCAACACCACCUACAUAUCACCUCUAAAAGCUACACAGCCUACAGAGUACUUCCACUGAGAAUACAUACACCCAACCGAGCUUCAUUAUAAUCAGCCAAGCUGAGGAGAAUCCCAAGCAAGGGAAGCUGACCUCCUUUGCUACCCUCCCCCACCUUUUCUAGGCCCUUCCCUUCCUCUCUCUUUUAAGAAUAUGUGUGAGUGGUUUGGAUACAUUAAUACACAGCAAGAAGCAAGCAAGAGCCAUCACCCCUCAGUUCUGGGGAAAUUAGCAUUUAAAUUGAGGUAUUUCAAAGAGGUAAAUCACCCUAGAGCCAGCCAGCUCUCUCUCUGCAGCCUUUUCUUACCUGGGAGAAGCCAAGGAGCUCUGACCUGGGCGCUGGGAAGUUUGCAGAGAGGAACUCACUCUUUCUGCCUGUCUUACUGCUCUUCCUAGGCUGCCUCCCAAAAGGGUCACAUCAUAAUCUGAAAAAUAAUGAGGACAUCAGCCUCAUCUCUCACCUCCUGUUGAAUUGAGCCUUUCAACCAAGGGAAAGAAGUGGCUUUGGCUGACCUUUAGUGUGUUCAGGAAACGAGGUUUCAGGAAACCUGUGUUCUCUUGGUUCUGUCACUGCCAGGCUGUAUGAUUUAGGAAACCAGCUUUCCUUUUUUGGAAUCAGCAAGGGUGAGAGAAGGGCUGGUGUGAAAUACCUGUCUGAACCUUGGGCUGGGAGGUGUAGAAAAUUGAAUUUGUUACCUGUUCUGUUGUAGGCACUGGGUGAUCAAUCUAAUGCUAACAUUGUCCCAUCUGCAGUCAUUCUGAAGCGCUGUCCUUCUUGGGGAGCAGUUGGAAGACCCAGGGUGUACUUCUUAUUGAGGGACACUAGUUUACAUUCUUGUCUCAAGCACUCAAGACUCAAGCGCUAUAAGACUUUCAUUAUACUUUUCACCUAUUCAUCAAUUCAUUCAACAAUCUUUACUAUUGUGUACUAGGCACUGGAAACCCAGCAAUAAAAAAGACAUUAUUUUUGUCCUCCAAUUAGUCACUGGUUGAUAGGCAACAUACAUAUACAAAUAAUUCCUACAUAUUGUGCAAGUUUCAUAUUUUUGAAAAUAUUAAAAGGGAUCAUAUUCCUUCCCAGACAUGUGUUUGGGACAUUACUCACACCAAACCCAGAGCCUCCAUCCUUUUCCUAGAGGAGCAGAUACCACCCAGAAAAGAAGGGUCAAUAUCCAGCUUUGCAUGCCAAAGCUGGCUUUGUCAUUUCGGAUUAGUCUGUGCUGAGAGUGAAGAUUCUUGGCUAUGUCAAAAGCCAUGCCAGGUCAACUCAUUGCAUUGUGUUUUAUUUUACUAUAUAGGUGGCACAGGCCUUAAAGCCUGUUCCCACCAGACUGGAAAAGGAAAUAGAAAACCUUUCUCUCUGCUUCUGGUGCUGCAAGGAAGGCAUUACUAAAGACAAAGACCAAGAGGCCGAGAGUGCAGAUGUGAUUAUCUCAGCAUCCCAACUUCCAACCUUCUGAAGCACCUGGACUGGCUACCAAGCCUUAAUCUUGAUUUCCAGCCUGGACUUGUUCCAUUUGCAUGUUCCGAGGAUCAGUGAAAGUGACCAUUUAAUUGGCCUAACAACCUGGGUGUACUGGCUGCUUCCCCUCCAAGCCCUCUUCCCUACAGUCUGAGUCCAGAGUCUAGUGCAGACACAUUGCCUAGCAGUCAUCUGCUCUGGAUGAGGACACCCUCCACUCUCAUCAGGACUCAGCAUUCAUACUUGUCCUCUCCAGUUCAUUUAGCAUCAUGCAGCCAAAUGAUUUCCUAAGCGGAUGGUCCUAACUCCAUGUAUUUGUAAUUGCUGCCUAACAAGAAACUAUAAACUUAGUGAAUUAAAACAACAUAAACAUACGAUCUUAAAGUGCUGUGGGCCAGAAGCCUAGCAUGGACAUUUGGGCUAAACCCAAGGUGUCUUCAAGGCUGCAUUCUUUCUAGAAGCUUUAGAGGAGAAUCAGUUUCCUUGCAAUCUCUAGCUCCCUGAAGCCACCCACAUUCCUUGGCUCACUGCUCUCUUCUAUCAUCAAAGGUAGCCAAGGCAAAUCAACUCUUCCUCAAAUCACACUCUCUGACUCAUUCUCUGCCUCCCUCUUCCACUUAAAGAUCCUUGUAAUUAUAUUGCACCCAUGUGGUACUCCAGGAAAAUUUAUUUAUCUCAAAACCAGCCGAGUAGCAACCUCAUUCACCCGCAGUCUUACCUCGCUGUUUACUAUGUAUGGUAUUCAGUUUCUGGGGAUUAAGACAUGAACAUAAUCUUCUGCCUAUCAUACGCAAAUAAGUUUUAUUUGCCUCUCCUAGGAGGACAGCACCACUGCCUUUCCUUUCAUUUGAAGAUUAGAUGCCACCUCUCCAUGUUUCCACAGUACCUAGUCUGCCAUUUAUACCAGACCCUUAUUUGUGGUCAUGCCAUCUCUCUCUCUCUGAACCAUGAGUGCUUGUGGGCAAAUACAGUGCCUGUCUUCUUCAAAGCUGUGCAUUUAGCCCACCCACGUGACAGGCACUCGAUAAAUGUUUACUCAAAAAUGAUCAAUGGAAUAGAUUAGAAGAUACAACCACAACCACAAACACACUCAACAACCUUAUUUUUUAUAAAGGGGCCAAACAUGUUCCCUGGAAAAACGACAGUCUCUUUAAUAAAUGGUGUUGGAAAAACUGGCUCUCCAUAUGCAGAAAACUAAAACUAGAUCCAUGUAUAUCAUCAUAUAUUAAAUUAAAAUCUAAAUGGAUCAAAGAUCUGAAUAUUAAAACAGAAACACUAACUCUAUUGAAAGACAAAUUGGGUAAAAACCUUGAAGACAUAGGGGUAGGUAGAGAAUUUAUGAACAGGAAUCAAACCGCAUGGGAAAUAAUACCCAGAAUCAAUAACUGGGAUCACCUCUUAUUAAAAAGUUUCUGCACGUUAAAAGAAAUCUCCAGCAUAGUGAAAAGAAAACCCACAAACUGGGAAAAAAUCUUAGUGAACUGUCCCUCAGACAAAGGAUUUCUGUCUAAAACAUAUAAAGAAUUUUAAAAAAAUCAGACCCCCAAAAUUCAAACAUCCAAUCCAAAAAUGGGCAUCUGAGAUGAAUACACACUUCUCAGAUGAAGAAAUACAAAUGGCAAAUAAAUACAUGAAAAAAUGUUCAUCAUCAUGACUCCUUAGAGAAAUGCAAAUUAAAACCACACUGAGAUUUCAUUUCACUCCUGAAAGAAUGGCCGAGAUCAAGAAAACCACCAACAACAAAUGCUAGAGAGGCUGUGGGGAAAAAAGAACUGUCCUGCACUGUUGGUGGGAGUGUAGCCUAGUGCAACCACUGUGGAGGUCAGUCUGGAGAUUUCUCAAAAAGCCUGGAUUGGAAGUCCCAUUUGUUCCAGAUAUUCCACUUCUAGGCAUAUUCCCAGAAGAACUGAAAAUGUCAUACCACAGUGAUAUAUGUGCACCCAUAUUUAUAGCAGCACAAUUUGUAAUAGCCAGACUUUGAAAACAACCUAAGUGUCCAUCCACUGAGGAAUGGAUAAAAAAGUUGUGGUAUUUUUAUACAAUGGAGUACUACUCAGCUAUAAAGAAUGAUCACAUUGAGAUAUUUAUAAAUAAAUGGGCGCAGCUUGAGACCAUUACUCAUAAGCAAAAUAAGUCAAACUCACAUGUAUAAAUACCGAAUAGUUUACCUAGUGUAAGAAAUGGUAAAGAUACAUAAAAGUAUGUGGUAAACAUGAUUCCCCAUUAUAUUGCUUUGAAGCCUUAUAAUGUUUCAUUCAUUAACUGGAAUGGUUUUAUUCUGGGCUGUUUGAUUUUAUUGUCUGUGAUGGUAUGAACAGUUAUUUUGAAGAAAACAAGACAAUAUAAUAGCUAGUACUGAUUUAAUAUCAUCUUGUUUUGAAGUCCCAUGAUGCUUUUGUUCUUCUGUCUCCAUCAGUUUAUCAUGUUGUAUCUUAUUGGAUUUUAUUAUAUGUGAUAGUGUAAACCAAAUUUUUUAUAGACAAAGAGAUAUUAUAGAAACCAUUGUUCAUUUUCUGUUAUUCUGGUUCUAAAUACCCUGUAAUACUUUCAUUCUCUUGAAUGGUUUUAUACUGUCAUGUCGUGUUUGAUGCUAUAAUAUAUGAAGUUAUACUCAAAUAUUUCAAGGAAAGAGACACUAUGGUAGCUACUAUUAUGUCGGGUUAUCUUGUGGUGAAACACUAUGUUGCUUAAAUUGUUCUGUUCUGACCUGUGUUAUUAUGUUGCUAUGUCCUCUUUUAUCUUAAUCUCCUUUCUUUUCAUUUUUUUAAUAAAAAAUGAAUGAAUGUU